ensembl:lncRNA novel transcript
CUGAAAGCCCCGCCCUGGAUGGCCCCGGGGUGACCCUGAGAGCGGCAGGCUUGAGUGGACUGCUCCCGGGAAGCCACUUUCAUGGCGUCCCCUCUCCAGGGUGCCCAUCUACCUGGAGCGUCAUCAUCGUCACUGCUGGAGUCUUGUCUCCUGUUGCCAAUCCAAGCUCUGGAGACACAAGUACCACAAGAAAGGUGUUACCCAGAGGCACUCGCCCAUCCUCCCUGCUGCACCGGAGGCCACACCAGCUGCCACAGCAACUCCCUGCUCCGUCCUCUGCUUUCUCAGAACUAACCUGGGCUCUCUGGAAUCAGAGACCUUCAACAAGUCACUGCUCACAUUUGCAAAUGUUCACGUCAAGAGAGGACCCCCUUUCCACGUGCCACUCCCCUCUCUUCCGGAUCAUUGCAGCUCUCCCCACCAGCCUUAUCAAUGUGGGGCUCCAACCCUACAGGUCAGUGAUUCACAAACAGGCACUGUCCCAG